UGACAAGGGCGGGGGGGCGGGUGUUUACGCAGUUUACGUCUUUUACGCUGUGCGUGACGUCAGUGUGUUUCAUUCCCAUGUGUAAGUGUGUGUAGCACUGGUUCCUUAUUCUAUGUAUGUAGUGUGUGUGCCUUGACUGCUGCCCCGUACGUCUGUACGCAGCAACGUUGGUACGUAGCGCGUUCCUGACAGGGAAGUGAGCCGCCAAGCGCCUUUUUUGCUGUUUGAAAAGCCAAAGGAAACCAAAGGCCGUCCUGGAGCAGCUGUUGUCACUUUGAAACCAGCAUGGAUCGUUUCAUCAAGACUUUUGUGGAAUGUAUCUGCUUCAGUUUUCUCCUCAAUCUGGCAUAUGCUUUUGAUCAUGAAUUUGACGAAAAAUGGCGCCGGAUGCAUCGGCCAAGGUUGCCUCCUGGAAUGAUCUUUAUAAUUGCCGUCGUGUUGAUGGUCGCAGCAAGCUUCGUUGUCUUGUGUUGCUACUGGUUUCGACGACAAAACAGCAUGCUUGCCUGUCUGAAGCAGCUGUCGUUACUUCAAGCUCAGCAUGAAUAUGUUCAUCAAGUCUUUCGUGGUGUGUGCCUGCUUCACUUUUCUCCUCGAACUGGCAUGUGCUUUUGAUGAUGACGAUUUUGAAGAAAAAUGGAAACGCACACGUCACAGGCCUGCCUUGCCUCCUGCAACAGUCUUCAUAAUCUUCGUCGCGGUGACGAUUGCAGCGGGUUGUAUCAGCAUAUUCUGUUUCUGCCUUCGACGACAACACAGCCUAUAUACUGCCAGUCCCCACAUUCCACGUCCACUGGCACCAGCUGGACCUGUGGUGACAUCGGGGGCAAGGACGCACACUUCGCUUGAAGCACAUCCCCUGGUUUCGGGAGGAGCUCCAUCAUUUCCAGCCACAUCGCAUCCCCAACAGACUUGGUACCCCCAGCUGACUGCGCCAUUCCCAGAGCGAGGCCCCCGCAUGGGUUACUACACAGCGCCACCAGGACAACUGUGUGCUGCACCGUUGCCAUCGACAUAUGCACCAUUCGAUCCACCGCCACCUUAUAUCAAUCCCCCUGAAGUGAAUUUCCCGAAAUCAUAGAUGAGCUAGCACAGCUGUGAAUGGUGAUCACACAUGUGCUGACUAGUGUUGACACGUUGGUUCUGUCGCCGCGCGCAAAGUCGUGGGUUCGAGUCCUGGCCACAUUCCAAUGAGGGCGGAGUGAAAAAGCACUUCUGUGCUUAGGCUUUGGUACACACAAGAGAACCCCAGGUGGUCGAAAUCAAUCCAGAGCUUGCUCCUGGUGUUGCAGAGCUUGUGACCGUGUAAACGCGGGAAGAAUGAUGCCAAACACCACUUUGUUGCACGACCCGUUGCAUUCCCUCGAUGGAUGCACGCAAGGGUUCAACAAUGCGGGGGUGUCCAUGUACAGAAUGUAGCGCAAGUAAGAGCACCACGUAUACAAAACCCUUAUGGAUGAAUGGCUGGAUUGUUUACACUCUGGUUUCUACCAGAGGUGGCAUUUUGCAGUGAAUGCAUCGCAUAAGCAAUGUGUACCUCUUACUUAUUCUGCUUAAAAUGGACAAGUAAUGCAGCCAGAAGUGCAUUCACCACACAGUGCCAACUACUACGCAGUCAAAGCUCGAUAUAACAAAGUUGUACGUGCAGCGAAAAACUUUGUUAUAUCGAGAAUUUCAUUAUAUCGGGGUUUCAUUAAUUCAAUAGACCUAAGAGGGGGAAAUAAAAAAUAGUUUGUUACAUUGCGAAUUUCGUUAAAUCGAGGUUCGUUAUAUCGAGCUUUGACUGUAUAUGAGAAGUCUUAGCGUGACAAAGCCAGUGAUUAAGCUGGAAAAGUCGUGUAUGCCUGGCAUUUCAGCGCAUUAAUCGCUGCUCCCUACACAGAUGUCUCUAGCUCAAAAAGUGUAGCAUCGAUCUGCCACUGUCCUGUGCUUACACUGUUGCCUGUUGCAUGGGAGGUCACCUUGCACAUGUGAGGCCUACUCUCAGCACACCACCUCUCUCAAUUUUUUUCUAUCAACUUCAUACUAUUUUUGUACAGGAAUACUGGCUACAAAACCUCUGGCUCAUAUUCCACCCAGAGCUCUAUUGUUACUUUUAUUGUUUAAAGGUAGCUAAUGGAGGAGGUAGUUAAUGGUGCCCUCGGGGAAGAGCAGCAUGGUCUCGGUGUUGGAGGCAAGGUCCUGACUCCUGAAGGUAGACAGGAGCUGGUGGAACGCGCUGUGCAUUGAAAGAGCCAGUGCUUGAGAAGUCUUGGGUGCAGUGCAGUCGGUACCAGUGGUCUGCACUGACCUUUGUGCUCGCACACAGCUUGCAUUUUUUUUCAGUUUUGUGUACAUUUUUACAGGUCUCUGUUAUGGAUCUGUAGGUUCCAGAGAUUUCUGUUCAGUGCCAUUGCGCCGUGAGUGGUGAAGUUAAGUGAUGCCCAGACUUGAAAACAGGCUCAUUAGUAGCCUUCGCUGCUUUUGCCUUGUAUAUCCUCUCUGCACAGAACUGUUACUGAUGUUAGUCAGAACUGGCACUGUUCCAUGGGAACCAAAAGCUUGCUUUGUGUGACGCGGACAAAUCAAGGUUGACUUUACAGACAAAGUGCAAUAAAAUGCUGGCAGCCUUAGAAUAUUGCGAAUUGUGAAGUUAGAAAGAAAGCUGAUUACUCAGUCUUGAAAUUGAAGAAGGGUGAAUGUUUAUUAUAAUUUUUCAGUAGACCUAGCUUUGUGCUAUUGUGACCUUUAUCGUACAAUGGAAUCUCUUAAAUUUAUUUGGUGGCCAGACCGGGGAUAGUUAGAAGUUAGAAGAUGGUUGUUUAUUUUGAUUCCCUUGCAAAAGAAAGAACAGCAUAGCAUACUAUACUGUUCAUUCCACUGUUUCUUGUAUAUGCUAUAGUGUAGUCCUGUAUAAUAACCUAAUGUAGUAUAUAUAGUAUGUAAAUGUAUUGUCCUCCAUAUAUUUCUGAUCAUCGUGCCAUUUACAUUCGCCGUGCCACAUAGCUAGGCAAACAAAAACACCCCUGCUGCAAUGCAAUCAAAUAUGGGUUUCCCUUGCUGUUGUGAUCGGGAGUGUUUCUCUGCUGGAGCUUCUGCCAUGUCGUGCUGUCAAAACUGCGACUCUUGUGAAGGGGAGCACCUAUGGUGAAAACAGCUUCAGUAAACUUGUAAAGUUAAUA